UUUUCAAGCAAACACAGAAGGACCGAAAGAAGCAUCCGCUCGAGAAGACGCCGUUAACAACAUAGAAGCGUCUCCUCGAAAACUUCAAUCGCGGCUCCUCCAUCGGUGUUGCCUUCGCGGUUCUUGCCUCAGAAUAUCCACGUUGUGUUCUCUCUAUCAGCUUGACAAUUUGAAGCUUCGUCAACAUCAUCGUCGCGUUCAACCUUCAGCUCACAAAGCAUCACGUUUUCCACCUUCACUUGUGGUUUGCGUCCUUCGAGGAUUGCGUUCAUCAAUCCAUUCAGAACUUUGGUGGAUUCACAACUUGAAAUCACCGAAACUCUGGUCGAUUCCGCUGCACGCACGCGUCGACAAAAAAGAGUCGAAGUGAAGAAACUCAUCGAAAAUAAAGCUUCAAACACGAAAAGGCAUCGAAUUCCUCUGCCCUGGCUUCAAUCUGAACUUCUUCUUCUUCUUCUGUACUCAAGUUCUGAUUUCUGCAGAAUCAUGGAAGACUUUGGCAGACAGUCCCUUUUCUCGGUGAUGACCUUGCAUUGUUGUGGUGUGUUGUGACGGAUGCCGUGACGAGAAUGAAUUCAAGAUUGAAAGAGUUUCAGUCGUUCUUCAUUUUGUUCAGAGAUAAACAAUGAAGGAAAUGAUGAGGGCUCUGCAGAAAAAUGGAGGAGACCCCGCUGAAUGGUAUACUGACUCGAUUUUAUAGAGGAUGGGAGACUAACUGAAUCGGGAGUCGGUCAGGUUUGUUACUUGUUGGGCAGGGUUAGUUAAUUCUGUUUUGGAUUUGUGAGGUUAGAAAUUUAUAGUUCUGUUUGGGAGUUUUCUUUUGUUAGGGACUUUUAGUUAUAUGACCUUUUCUACUUACUUCUGUUAUAGAAAUUUUUAAUAGGGCGGAAUUGGUUUCUUUGCAUUUGGAAGCUAUUCAAAUGGUGAAGGGAGGUUUUUGGUUGAGUGAGUUGGAAAAAUUCUGGUGAAGUGGUGGUUGAUUUUCGGGUUGAGAAAUUAUGAAGGUCCCUCCUGAGAGUUCUUAGAAGAAAACAGUUAUAGGUAGGCUUUUGAUAGUUGCGUUGAAGUGGAUUUUUCGGUUAGAAUCUGUUAUGAUUCUAUUCUGAAGUUAGUUGCAAUUUGGAAAUUCAGUUAGAUGUUGGUUAGGGAUUUUGGUUGUCGGUUGGUUAAUUCUAUUUGCCAGUUAUGAUUAUGAGUCUUUGGGAUGCCAUGCCUUGUAUUGCUGAAAUGGAGGUGAUGUAUGGUUGUUGUUCAGCAUUGCUUUGCAGGUCCGCCACUAAUGGAUUAUUGUUUGAUUUAUGAACUAUUGUGCAGGUUGUGAACCAUUGGCCUUUGAAGGUCUUGUUAUGCUGAGUUUUCAAUGUCAAUUGGCGUUUUUGAAAGGUUGGUUAGUUGUUGUAUUGCCGUUAGUUGGUUAUGUGGAAUGUUAAACUUGCCAUUAUGUACUACUACUCAUUCUGAAGAGUCAAUGAAUUAUUGAUGGUUCGUUAUGGCUUGGACGGCAGCUUGGCGAUUUUUCCUGCUAUGUACUCUGAGUUUUUGCUUCUUACUUCAUUGCACGUGCUUUCCUGCGUUUUGGCCACUUUAUAAUGUUGCAGCUUUAGCUCUUCUCCACUGAUUUCUUCUUUUUUUUCCAUUUUGUCUUACUUGGGUAUAUGGAUGGACUUUGGGAUUAUAGUGGAUAAUGGUUUGGAGUGUGUAUUGGUAUCUACUGGUGGAUGUAAAUGGAUAUGAAAUUUGGAUAAUUGGUUUAUAUAUUGUAGAUGUAUUUUGGUUUGUGUUGGA